UUAAAAUGCCUGAGUUUAUUUAAUUUAUUUAACAUUAUGAUGUAGGUAUUAUUAUUAUCUCUAUUUUACAGAUGAGAAAACUUAAGAUUAGAAAAAAUUAUGCAGCUUGCCUAGAAUAUGGCUUCUAGCAAAUGUUGUAAAGGAACUCAGAUCUGCCCAUUCCCAGAGCCUGAGGUCUUGAUCUAUUCUGCUGACUUAAAUUCUUUAUCAUUGGUUUCAUACCCUGAAGCUUGGGAACUCCUGUGGAGCCCUGGAGUGAUGUUUAAGGAAUACUUCAGUGAGCUGUACACACUACAACUCCCAUAUUGUAUUGUAGUUUUAAAAAAUAGUUUCUUUAAAAUAAAUGCAAGAGGGGUCUCUGAACAAUACACUCAGGUCUCUGAACAAACUGGCUGAAUUGACCAUGAACUAUUUUUCUAGCAUUUGGACUUUAACAGAAGCAGAGCAAACUUGGGAUGACCACACCCUUCCUGGGCUUCAAGGACUUUAAAAAUGUCCUGGCUGCCCCAGAAGGUGGAGAGCUCUGCAUUUCAGCAUUGGUGGUAUUCUCUGCUGGUUGAAUGCAAAUGGAAGCCUGAGGAAAAGGGAACCCUUGACUCCGUUUUCAUAUAGAUUGGCCUCCAGGGCAGACAGCAGAUUCCAGGAACCAGGAGGUUGUUUGCUGUACUCUCCCUUGUACAGUUAGCUGUCUCUAGUGCCUGAAUGCACUAAUUGUCCUUUGGGUAUGGAUGAGGUAAUGAAGGAAAGGGAUGCUGGGAAGAGAGGCCACAUGAGAAGGUUAGUGUGGGCGUAAGACACAAUGCAGAGGAUUUGUGUUUGUGCCAUCUGCCUGCUUCUAUGAUUCAUCUGGGUCUGUGCACCCUUGUAAUCAGCAGGCUGCAGCGAACUAAGUGUUGCUUGCUAAAGAAAAAUGAAAGCUGGGACUUCAGCAGGGAGGAAAGUAUAUGCCUCACCGUGAUGAGUGCAAACAAACACGCAGCAUCGGGAAAGCCACACAGAAUGAAGCUCUGAGAAGACUGUUAGUGUUUCCCCCCCACGUCCCAGGGGAAAAGGUGUAAGUAACAGAAUUAUUCCAAUUGGUCAAGAAUUCAUCUUUCCUGUCACUUGUCUCUUGUGGGAGUUCAAACUUGCUCAGUCCCACCCAUUUUGAUUGAAAGUGAAAAGAAGGACAUUUUAAUUUAAGAGCAGAAGAUGGAACUUGAGAGCAGAACAAAUUUGGCAAAUGUAAAUUCUUAUCCAAAACCCAUGCUUCCUGUACUUGGCACCUUGUUUCCCUGAUUCUGCGUGAUGUCCAUCUCUUUUUCUCAUUGCAGUUUGAAUUCAGGCAUGUGUCUUUCCUCUCAGCUUCACUAUGCGUAAGAGGAUACUUGGCAUGAGUGAACUCAUCCUGGCUGAUAGGAAACACUUAUAAUUAGGCAAAGAAACUCAAAAGAACUGAAGCCCUUUUCCCUCUAUGAGCAUCUUUCACUAACUGCCCUAGGAGUUGGUGCCUACCGUUUGGAUUAGAUUUAGCUACGGGGCAGGAAAGGGUUAAAGGAGUUAGAAAGAAUUGAAAUGAAAAUGAAAACUUUUUUCCCUAUUAAGAUAGCAGAAG